CUAGACUUUACUUUGUCUCUCUACAAUCAUCAUGGGUAUUGAUCUUAAUUGUUGGUUUCGAUUUUGCUGAGUUGAAACUAUCUGCCUCUCUCUCUAGACUUUACUUUGUCUCUCUACAAUCAUCAUAGGUAUUGAUCUUAAUUGUUGGUUUCGAUUUUGCAGAGUUGUUUCAACUCAGCUCUCGUUUCUUAUUUCUCCCCUUCUGCUCCCAACUGACCACCGCUAUGGCGGAUGAUGAAAAUCAAAACCCUCCUCCAAAUUACUUUAGUCUAAAGAAGCUGGCAAAAUUGCACUGUAGAAAUGAACAGUGUUUUGUAAGACAUUUCAGUUUAUUUACAAGACUACCACUGGCCCUCUCUGCCGUGAGUCUUGAUGCAUACGUGUUGAUGAUCGUGGGAAGGAAGAACGAUGGUAAAGGCGGUCUUUUUCGUUUCCUUCUCAAACCCUCCUUGCCUCUUCCGUCUCACAGACCCGACGAGAACGACACAGACGGUCUCGCGUCCAUCCUAUCCUCUUCUCACCGCCGUCUGCCUUCCCUCGCCUAUGUCGUCUUACUCCAUCGUUUGCGUCAUGGAGGCCCAUGCAUGGUUUUUUUGGGUGGGGAUUUCAGAUUUCAAGGGGGAGAGAGGCUGUGCUUCGUUUCGAUCUGGUCUUGGCUUCAAUAAAAUCAGCACCCACAACUGGAGGAGUCAAGAAGCCUGACCGCUACCGACCUGGAAUCGUUGCUCUUCGUUUGAUCGAAUCAGGUUGAAUUGAAUAAUCCUUGAAGUGACAAGGAGCUGACUGAGCAAGUUUGCCUCAAGCCGGUGAAGGAAUCAGGGUAACAGAGCCCAGACUAUAAGAGAUGACGGAAAUUGACUCGAGUUCAAACUGAAACAAUAUGAUUAUUUUGGUUAUGAUACAACUGAAGUGGAGAAGGAUAGCUCAGUGGCUUCCUAAGGUGCAAUGCUACUUCAGAAUGCUUUAGUUCAGAAGCCGGCAGAAUCAAUUGACAAUCUUGGGCCAAGAAAGAAAUCAUUAUCUGAUAUUGGGAACCUACUGGUGAAUGCAGACGCUGCAAAACCUGCCUUAAAGAACUGUAGAUGCUGAAGACAAAAAAGAAGCAAAGGAUACAUUGCAAGCAUAAGAGUUGGCUUCAUUUCAUUCCAGUGACUCUUUAAAUAGGUCCAAGAACUCACUAAAUAGAAGGUGGUAGUGAAAUUGGAUUUACAUAACGACAGAGAAAAUAAAAAGGCCUUGAAAGCAGUCUCCAGCCUUACAGUGAUUGAAGAUCUUAGUCAAGGUUCUUUCCCUAUCAUUUCAAGCUAGAUUAGCUGAUGAGUGAUGCUCUUUGUACUGGUGCAGUAUCAUUGGUGCUCACUUUGUAUUUUUCCAGUCACUAUAUAUCUGCUCAACUCUUGGGGGUCAAUUAUUUGCCAGUGGGAAUGUUUAAUUGCUUGAUCAAUGAUUUCGAUUCAAUUUGAAGAAGAAAUAGUACUUUUGUUCACUAGGGAUUGAGACUCACAUAUGAGUAAGAUGUCCCAAUUGUUCAUUGA